rnacentral:tRNA from 2 species
GCCGAAGUGGCGGAACGGCAGACGCGCUGCGUUCAGGGCGCAGUACUCCUUGCGAGUGUCAGGGUUCAAAUCCCUGCUUCGGCA